UACGUAGGGUGCGAGCGUUGUCCGGAUUUAUUGGGCGUAAAGAGCUCGUAGGCGGUUUGUCGCGUCGGCCGUGAAAUCUCCACGCUUAACGUGGAGCGUGCGGUCGAUACGGGCAGACUUGAGUUCGGUAGGGGGAGACUGGAAUUCCUGGUGUAGCGGUGAAAUGCGCAGAUAUCAGGAGGAACACCGGUGGCGAAGGCGGGACUCUGGGCCGAUACUGACGCUGAGGAGCGAAAGCGUGGGGAGCGAACAGG
rnacentral:rRNA from 1 species